rnacentral:rRNA from 1 species
GAACGGGAAAACAGGGGCAAAUCUGUGAGUACAGUGGCGUACGGGUGAGUAACACGUGACUACCUACCCUCGAGUGGGGGAUAACCCCGGGAAACCGGGGCUAAUACCGCAUAACAUCGCAAGAUCAAAGGAGCAAUUCGCUUGAGGAGGGGGUCGCGGCUGAUUAGCUAGUUGGUGAGGUAACGGCCCACCAAGGCGAUGAUCGGUAGCCGGCCUGAGAGGGCGCACGGCCACACUGGAACUGAAACACGGUCCAGACUCCUACGGGAGGCAGCAGUGGGGAAUUUUGCGCAAUGGGGGAAACCCUGACGCAGCAACGCCGCGUGGAGGAUGAAGUCCCUUGGGACGUAAACUCCUUUCGACCCGGACGAUAAUGACGGUACGGGUGGAAGAAGCACCGGCUAACUUCGUGCCAGCAGCCGCGGUAAU